GAUGAACGCUGGCGGCGUGCCUAAUCCAUGCAAGUCGAGCGAACAGAUGAGCAGCUUGCUCCUCUGACGUUAGCGGCGGACGGGUGAGUAACAAGUGGAUAACCUACCUAUAAAACUGGGAUAACUUCGGGAAACCGGCGCUAAUACCGGAUAAUAUAUUAAACCGCAUGGUUCAAUAGUGUAAGACGGUUUUGCUGUCACUUAUAGAUGGAUCCGCGCCGCAUUAGCUAGUUGGUAAGGUAACGGCUUACCAAGGCAACGAUGCGUAGCCGACCUGAGAGGGUGAUCGGCCACACUGGAACUGAGACACGGUCCAGACUCCUACGGGAGGCAGCAGUAGGGAAUCUUCCGCAAUGGGCGAAAGCUUGACGGAGCAACGCCGCGUGAGUGAUGAAGGUCUUCGGAUCGUAAAACUCUGUUAUUAGGGAAGAACAAAUGUGUAAGUAACUAUGCACGUCUUGACGGUACCUAAUCAGAAAGCCACGGCUAACUACGUG
rnacentral:rRNA from 1 species